rnacentral:rRNA from 1 species
UACAGAGGUCUCAAGCGUUGUUCGGAUUCAUUGGGCGUAAAGGGUGUGUAGGUGGCGCCGUAAGUCGGUGUGAAAUUUCGGAGCUUAACUCCGAAACUGCAUUCGAUACUGCGGUGCUUGAGGACUGGAGAGGAGACUGGAAUUCAUGGUGUAGCAGUGAAAUGCGAUAGAGAUCAUGAGGAAGACCAGUGGCGAAGGCGGGUCUCUGGACAGUUCCUGACACUGAGGCAACGAAGGCCAGGGGAGCAAACGGG